rnacentral:rRNA from 1 species
UACGGAGGGGGCUAGCGUUGUUCGGAAUUACUGGGCGUAAAGCGUGCGCAGGCGGUUCGUUAUGUCUGAUGUGAAAGCCCCGGGCUCAACCUGGGAAUGGCAUUGGAAACUGGCGAGCUAGAGUGUGGCAGAGGGGGGUGGAAUUCCGCGUGUAGCAGUGAAAUGCGUAGAGAUGCGGAGGAACACCGAUGGCGAAGGCAGCCCCCUGGGCUGACACUGACGCUCAGGCACGAAAGCGUGGGGAGCAAACAGG